CUCUAGUUCUUUUUCAACGCGAUGCCAUACCGUUCACGUACCUGGCCGCCAGGUCGUGCUUUCGUCCCAGGUAGCGGAGGAUGGCCAAGCUCUGGGUCAGCCUAACGUCGUCGUCGAUGUAGUACGGAAGGUUGGGGAACGUGAGACCGAGCGUGGACUUUUCCUUCAGUCAGGCGGACCUGCCGUAGUCGGGCGGGGGACCGAUUUCGUACUGUUUGUCCUCAAACUCGACUCCCCUGUAGAUGAGCAGGUUGCGGAUAGGUUGUCCCAGGGACCUGACGUUCCAGUAGCCGAGUACGGGA
rnacentral:lncRNA from 1 species